rfam:Schistosoma haematobium scaffold393_22, whole genome shotgun sequence.
UGCUUUUAGAAUCUGUGCCGAGACUUCGUCGGAAACUAAUCCAGUAGAGUUGAUGAGGCUCCUAAGAUAAGCGAGGCG